rnacentral:rRNA from 1 species
UACGAAGGGGGCGAGCGUUGUUCGGAAUUACUGGGCGUAAAGGGCGCGUAGGCGGCGACUCAAGUUAGAUGUGAAAGUCCUGGGCUUAACCUGGGGACCGCAUUUGAUACUGGGUUGCUUGAAUUCGGGAGAGGAUAGCGGAAUUCCCAGUGUAGAGGUGAAAUUCGUAGAUAUUGGGAAGAACACCGGUGGCGAAGGCGGCUAUCUGGACCGACAUUGACGCUGAGGAGCGAAAGCGUGGGGAGCGAACAGG